AUACAGAUGACGAGUCCCAAAUAGGACGAAACGCGCGUCCUGGAC
rnacentral:hammerhead_ribozyme from 1 species